ACAUCGCCUCUUGUCCAAUAAGAGGUCCAGCCUGCCCAGUGACCUAAUUCAACGGCCGCGGUAUCCUGACCGUGCGAAGGUAGCGUAAUCACUUGUUUUUUAAAUAAGGACUAGUAUGAACGGCAUCACGAAGGCUGCACUGUCUCCCGCCUUUAAUCAGUGAAAUUAAUCUCCCCGUGAAGAAGCGGGGAUAAAAUCAUAAGACGAGAAGACCCCAUGGAGCUUUAAACAAAGGACAUUUACUAACCCAUAACAAAAGUUAAGCAUUAUGACCCCUAGUUUUUGGUUGGGGCGACCGCGGAGAACAACCCACCCUCCAUGCUGAAAGAUAUAAUCUUAGCCCAAAACAACCCAUUUAAGCAUUAGAAUCCUAACACUCAUUGACCCAAUUCACUUGAUCAACGAACCAAGUUACCCUGGGGAUAACAGCGCAAUCCACUUCAAGAGCCCCUAUCGACAAGUGGGUUUACGACCUCGAUGUUGGAUCAGGGUAU
rnacentral:rRNA from 1 species